GGAACACUGAGAGCAUGAGAGGAAACAGGAGAACUCGUUCUCCUGAGAGUUUGGUUUCUUCUUCCUUCCCAUCAACCUCUCUUUCCAUCCAAUCUUCACCGUCGACUGCAGUCAUUGUCUGUUUGUUUUAGAGGAGCGGCCUGCUGAACACAUUCACCUGGAGAAAUGAAUUUCCAACUGGGUUUGAUCUGAUUGUAGUGUCUGCCCAGAACAUCAGGCAUGUGAUGAAUGUGGAGCCGGAUCAAACUGUCUCUGACUGUCCACACACUGCAGAGGUCCAACACUGAGAGGCUGAGCCAUGCAGGUCCAACAUUGAUUUCUGGUCCAGUUUGUUAAAGAUGCUAAAGGGUGAUGUGGUGCUCUGGUUUUUCAGACAGAGGAAGAGUAGAAGACAAGACACUGAGGAAGAUGUAGAGAACCCAGGGGAUUUUAAAAAGGUUCCACAUUCUGCAAAAGAACAAUGAUCUCAGUCUUUGUUUCUAUGAACUAUUAAUUAUUAAGAGAUGGAUGAAUAAACCAUCGAAGCUCAUAGUUCAGAGUUCUUUAUCGUAACAAAUGAAUCUGUUUUCUGAGUUUAAUUCUCCUGUUUCUUCAUACGGGCCACUGUAAAACCUGAAGAUGGAUACUUAGCUGUGUGAGCCACUCAUUAAUCAACAUGUUGUCAAUAGUCUGUCUGCUCCCACUUAUUCUGCUGGUUCCCCCACUGGGGAUAUGAUGGGAAGUCCAGCUGACCUGCAGCAGAAAGAGAAAAAGGCUUUUUUCCUUCAUCUCCUCUGUUAAACUGGUGGAUUUCUCUGCUGAUGAAGGAAGGACCCACAGGUGUCGGCUUGAAUGAACUCAAGAGGAAACUGUUGAUCUCUGACCCCCAGCACUUCGGAGUGACCAUCCCACAAAUCGUUUUCUGGACCUUCAGAUCGUCAGCAACAUUUCUGGUGGACCUCUAGUAGAGAAACUGCAGUCUUAGUUUUGAGAAAAUAUUAGGACUUCUGAUGUUACCUGCUGUGUUUGUUACCUGCAGUGAGAUGUUCUGGACAUGUUCUACUCAAAGUCAGACACCUAAAAUGUCCCUGGUAUUAAAA